rnacentral:rRNA from 1 species
CGCGGUAAUUCCAGCUCCAAUAGCGUAUAUUAAAGUUGUUGCAGUUAAAAAGCUCGUUAGUUGAACCUUGGGUCUGGCUGGCCGGUCCGCCUCACCGCGAGUACUGGUCCGGCUGGACCUUUCCUUCUGGGGAACCUCAUGGCCUUCACUGGCUGUGGGGGGAACCAGGACUUUUACUGUGAAAAAAUUAGAGUGUUCAAAGCAGGCCUUUGCUCGAAUACAUUAGCAUGGAAUAAUAGAAUAGGACGUGCGGUUCUAUUUUGUUGGUUUCUAGGACCGCCGUAAUGAUUAAUAGGGAUAGUCGGGGGCGUCAGUAUUCAGCUGUCAGAGGUGAAAUUCUUGGAUUUGCUGAAGACUAACUACUGCGAAAGCAUUCGCCAAGGAUGUUUUCAUUAAUCAGGGAACGAAAGUUAGGGGAUCGAAGACGAUCAGAUACCGUCGUAGUCUUAACCAUAAACUAUGCCGACUAGGGAUCGGGCGGUGUUUCUAUGAUGACCCGCUCGGCACCUUACGAGAAAUCAAAGUUUUUGGGUUCUGGGGGGAGUAUGGUCGCAAGGCUGAAACUUAAAGAAAUUGACGGAAGGGCACCACAAGGCGUGGAGCCUGCGGCUUAAUUUGACUCAACACGGGGAAACUCACCAGGUCCAGACAAAAUAAGGAUUGACAGAUUGAGAGCUCUUUCUUGAUCUUUUGGAUGGUGGUGCAUGGCCGUUCUUAGUUGGUGGAGUGAUUUGUCUGCUUAAUUGCGAUAACGAACGAGACCUCGGCCCUUAAAUAGCCCGGUCCGCGUUUGCGGGCCGCUGGCUUCUUAGGGGGACUAUCGGCUCAAGCCGAUGGAAGUGCGCGGCAAUAACAGGUC